rnacentral:tRNA from 1 species
AAGAAGGAAAGAUCGACCUGCUAACUCGACCUACCAAACCUAAACAUUUGGCCCUCU